CCUACGGGAUGCAGCAGUGAGGAAUAUUGGUCAAUGGGCGGGAGCCUGAACCAGCGAAGUCGCGUGAGGGAAGACGGUCCUAUGGAUUGUAAACCUCUUUAGGCGGGGAGCAAUGCCGGGCACGUGUGCCCGGAGGGAGAGUACCCGCAGAAUAAGCAUCGGCUAACUCCGUGCCAGCAGCCGCGGUAAUACGGAGGAUGCGAGCGUUAUCCGGAUUGAUUGGGUUUAAAGGGUGCGUAGGCGGAUUUUUAAGUCAGCGGUAAAAUGUCCGGGCUCAACCCGGGCCGGCCGUUGAAACUGGGGAUCUUGAGUGGGCGAGAAGUAUGCGGAAUGCGUGGUGUAGCGGUGAAAUGCAUAGAUAUCACGCAGAACUCCGAUUGCGAAGGCAGCAUACCGGCGCCCGACUGACGCUGAGGCACGAAAGCGUGGGGAUCGAACAGGAUUAGAUACCCCAGUAGUC
rnacentral:rRNA from 1 species